AUUGAACGCUGGCGGCAGGCCUAACACAUGCAAGUCGAACGGUAGCACAGAGAGCUUGCUCUUGGGUGACGAGUGGCGGACGGGUGAGUAAUGUCUGGGAAACUGCCUGAUGGAGGGGGAUAACUACUGGAAACGGUAGCUAAUACCGCAUAACGUCGCAAGACCAAAGAGGGGGACCUUCGGGCCUCUUGCCAUCAGAUGUGCCCAGAUGGGAUUAGCUAGUAGGUGGGGUAACGGCGCACCUAGGCGACGAUCCCUAGCUGGUCUGAGAGGAUGACCAGACACACUGGAACUGAGACACGGUCCAGACUCCUACGGGAGGCAGCAGUGGGGAAUAUUGCACAAUGGGCGCAAGCCUGAUGCAGCCAUGCCGCGUGUAUGAAGAAGGCCUUCGGGUUGUAAAGUACUUUCAGCGAGGAGGAAGGCGAUACGGUUAAUAACCGUGUCGUUUGACGUUACUCGCAGAAGAAGCACCGGCUAACUCCGUGCCAGCAGCCGCGGUAA
rnacentral:rRNA from 1 species